rnacentral:rRNA from 1 species
CAGUCGCCGCGGGAAUACGGAGGGUGCAAGCGUUAAUCGGAAUUACUGGGCGUAAAGCGCACGCAGGCGGUUUGUUAAGUCAGAUGUGAAAUCCCCGGGCUCAACCUGGGAACUGCAUUUGAAACUGGCAAGCUAGAGUCUCGUAGAGGGGGGUAGAAUUCCAGGUGUAGCGGUGAAAUGCGUAGAGAUCUGGAGGAAUACCGGUGGCGAAGGCGGCCCCCUGGACGAAGACUGACGCUCAGGUGCGAAAGCGUGGGGAGCAAACAGGAUUAGAUACCCCUGUAGUCCCUGUCUCUUAUAA